rnacentral:rRNA from 1 species
AUGGACCAUUCCAUCCCUUUUUCCCGUGCAUAUGCAUCGGAUUCGGAUGACGAAGGUCCCGAUGAACAAGUUGAUGAGGAGGGGUUCACGGUGAAGGAGGCCGAAGCUUUCGAGAAGGUAUUCGGUCAGGAUCACAAGACACCAUUGUUCAAGGAUGUUAAUCUCGCGGAUGAAGCCGUUGUGGAUGGUGGCAAAUCUAUAUCUCUUGGGGUUAGGCCAAGCUCUCAC